rnacentral:rRNA from 1 species
CCUACGGGUGGCAGCAGUGAGGAAUAUUGGUCAAUGGACGGAAGCCUGAACCAGCCAUGCCGCGUGCAGGAAGACGGCCCUAUGAGUUGUAAACUGCUUUUGUACAAGGGUAAACCUGAACACGUGUAUCCAGUUGAAAGUACUGUAUGAAUAAGGAUCGGCUAACUCCGUGCCAGCAGCCGCGGUAAUACGGAGGAUCCAAGCGUUAUCCGGAUUUAUUGGGUUUAAAGGGUGCGUAGGCGGGUUGAUAAGUUAGAGGUGAAAGGUCGGGGCUUAACUCGGGAACUGCCUUUAAUACUGGUAGUCUAGAGAAUAGAUGCGGUAGGCGGAAUGUAUGGUGUAGCGGUGAAAUGCUUAGAGAUCAUACAGAACACCGAUUGCGAAGGCAGCUUACCAAUCUGUAUCUGACGUUGAGGCACGAAAGCGUGGGGAGCAAACAGGAUUAGAUACCCUUGUAGUC